CUCUCUCUCUCUCCCUACAUGUAUAGUUCAAACUAGGGUAUAAGAUUUACGUUUCUCCUUAGAACUAAAUAUGGAAAUCCCUGUUUGUUUCCACUCGUUGAACCAACACAACGAAGUAAAACCCUAGCUCCAGUUCUGAAUCGUCGAUACACGUACGCACGAAUAGGAGCGGUGAUUCGUAGCGAACCAAGAGAGAAACUAAGUUUCGCGAAGAAUACCGGUAUUCUUCUCUCAAUCGAACUUUCAAGCCUCGAUUCAGCGUCUCCAUUUAUCAUCGACUAUCUAAUCACAUCUUUCGCAGACCGAUCGAUUCAGCAAGGACUUGAAGGUGAGAUCACACGGAGGAUGUUGACUCAUAAGUCAUGGGAUCUUUCAUCUGCCAAAGACCCUAUACGGCAGGGACGGCUCCUACUUUGAUCCAAUCUAUUAAGGUGUGUUGUUUCAUUUAUCUUUCUUUCUUUACUUUUUAGUGACAAUAGCGUUUUCUUCCCAUAACUAAUACCUUUGAGGAAUCAUGCCUUCACAGUUCUUCACUUUCUCAUGUUUGUGUUUGAGGCUACAUCUGUGCUUCAAUAGAGUUGUUUUGCAAAAAGCUCAAGCUUGUGAGAAGAUCAUUACUUAGUUAAUAGAAAAUUCUCUAUGUGUUAGUUAAUAGAAAAUUCUAUACGUGUACAUAACCGAGGGAAUUGGCUUUUAUUUCUAAUUUUUGGAUAAGCCUCUUCUGGUAAACUAAUGUGUAAGUUUCUUUCCUCCACGACUUGUUUUAACACCAAAGUUGCAGGUUUCAAACUUGGUAAUACAACGUCUAAUAUGCUUAAUCAGCUUUCUAAUGAACACUGGCUUGAAAAUUGGUGUGGCUCACAACCGAAAAUCCUUUGAAAACUGGUGUAUCCACAUGUUUUGGUGCUUUGUCGGGUGUAGAUAAUAUCCAUUACGAGACAGAAUACAGAAGAGAAUGGUGCACUAGCAAGGGGAAACCCUCUCCCUGCUCCCUUUUUGCUAGGAAGUUCAAUAAACUUGCUGCUCUUCCACUUCUUAAUAUGAUUUGCAUCUUCCAUUCGCUGCUUCUCUCUCUCUCUCUCGUACAAUGGUAGACUCAAUCGUUCUGUGGCGCCAAAUACUAGCCGAUGACAAUCACAUCAGUCUUCUCCAUCAUUUCUUCUCUCACAAGAAAUAGAGAAGUUGUUUCCGGAUUGAAAUUGGAGGUGAAUGAAGAGAAAAAAGACUUUCUACUGUUGGGCGCAAGAUGCUGCUCUUAGUGUCACCAACAAAAUAAUGGAAUCUGAUUUGGCUGUACCUGAGGUCAACGUAUGUGCAGCAGCAAUGCAACUUAUGCUUAAAAUUCUGAAUUGGGACUUCUGGUAUGGCACAAAUGCAGUUACGGGUUGAAAAAGUGCCAUAGAUGUAUAUUCAGCCGAAGUUAGAUAUGAAGGUGCAAAGAGGUCUGAUUGCGUCCUAGUGCAGCCUGGCUCUUCUUGGCGUGAUGUUUUGAUAACAAGUUUUCACAUUGGGUGGCUUUUGAGUUUGUAUGGUGCACUUAGAAAGAAGUUCUUGUGUGAAGGUUAUUGGCUUGAUUGUCCUAUUGCAGUCUCUGCACGGAAACUUAUUGUACAGUUCUGUUCCUUGAUGGGAACUAUAUUUCCAU